GUUCAUUUCCUACUAGCCAUUAUGAUUAUGUGCAAGGACAUCAAUCAAUGAUUCUUUUAUUCAUUUGAGCUGUUGGAAUAAUAUUGCAAUAUGCAAUACGUUGCGAGCGACAUUUGAUGUAUGCGUUCGCGUAUAAUUAACCCAAGAAAAUUCAAAAUGGCCGACAAAUAUAUAUAUUCGAAGGUCAAACUUUUCUGGAUCC